UAAAUACAUAAUCUAAAUAAAAUAAAAAAAUAAUAUAUAUUACAUUCACAUUAAACGUUUUAUAAUAAUAGUCCUUAAAUUUUCUAUUCUUGUGAUUUAGUGCCAUUAAUAUUGUAAUACUCAUCUUGAAUGUCAUUGUCUCUUACUAAUCCUUCAUCAAAUAUUGAAUUACGAUUAUUUUCAAUAUUGUCAAAAUAAGGAUCAUAUUGUGCAUGCCUUCUCAUAGAAUUAUGCAAUGUUAUGGUUGUAAUGACAUAAUUUUUAUUAGCAUAAUUUGAUUGUAAUGGUAAUAUGAUAUCUAAUGAUUUAUAAUUUAGGCUUUGUAGAAUAAUAAGACAUAAUUACUUUUUGUUAAAUAUUAAGAUUAUAAUAGAAACUUUAGAAAGGUUUGGUUGUUUAUUUAAUAAGGGGUAAAAGCUCGUUUAGUCCCUAUAUUUUGAAGUUAAUGCUCGUUUAGU
rnacentral:lncRNA from 1 species